rnacentral:lncRNA from 1 species
UCUCUCCUGCCGCUGUUUCGGAGCGGUGUUUACUACGGGGACGCGGGGCCCGAGCCGCCCGAGCCCUCCCGGCCCCUCCGCCCGCGGCCGCCGGAGCCCUUCCCCGGCCCCUCCCGUUCCCUCCCGGCCCUUCCCCGCCGCGGGGCGGCGGCGGCCGCGCUUUGUACGCGGGGACGGCGACGACGCCGGGGCCGGUUCCCCCCAACCCCCCGCCCGCCCGCCGGGCCCUGCGGCAGCGCGGGACCGCUUACCUGCUGCUUCCCCUCGGUGGUGCGCGGGGCCGGGCAGCGCCGCUCGGAGGCACCGCGGAGGUUUCCUCGCCGCGAACCGAGCGCGGCGCCCGCCGCCCGCCCGCCCUUCGGCAGCCCCCGGUCCGGGCCGGACAAACGCGGAGACGGCGCUGAGGGGCGCCCGCCGCCCUCCGGCCCCGCGGAGCAGCACGCGCAGGGACCGCCGCCGCCGCAAGUUUGGCGCCGCGGCCGCACUUCGCGCCGCUCCCCCCGCCCCCACCUCCGCCCCUCCGCCGGGCUCCGGCAGCGGCCGAGCUCCCGCGGCGCGGAGCCGAGCGGCCGCGGCCCGCCGAGCGCUGCGAGCGGAGGACCGGAGAGCGGGGCGGAGGCGGCGGCGCCGCGGCGUGGAGAGCGGAGCGGGCCCGGGGGCGCGUGCGUCCCUGCGCGGCGCAAGCGGGCCCGCGUGCUGCGCGGCCGCUGCCCCUCACUCACACAUGUGUUACUGACAGAGCAGAAUCCCAACUACACUCCGGCCCGGCCCCGCCGCCCGCCCGCCGCAGCCAAUCCGCCCCCGGCUUGUUCAGGCGGAAUAAUAAAACCUGCCAAUCCCGGGGAAGACAAAGGAAUGAGUGAAAGAGGAGGAAAAAAAAAAAAAAAAAAAAAAAAAGAGAGAGAGAGAGCGAGCGAGGGAGAAGGGGGGGGCAGAGAGGAGGAGGGGAAUGGAAGGGAAGGAGGGAGUCAGGUGGGAAGCGGCGCCCGCCGCCCCCGCCCGGCGCUGAGGAGCGGCGCCCGCGGCCGUGAGGGCACCGCACUGCUGGCGGCAGUCGCGGCACCGCGCCCCGCUCCGCUCGCGGCCACCAGUUGA